UAGUGUCUCAUUUGUGUUUGUUCAUGAUGUAUAAAAGAAAUUUCUUUCUAGAUAUUACAGUCCAAGCAUGACUACAAAGGAAAAGGUCAACUGUUCCUGUCGUUAAGGAAAUACCCGGAGGGGCUGCAAGUUGUGGAUGUCAAAGAUGCAUAUCUUCUGUCCUUCAAGACUUGCAGAGGACCAAGUCAAACAAUGCCCAUCUCCCUGAGCUAUUCCAGAACACCAAUUCAAGAGGAGAAUAACGUAGACAAUUCUAACCAUGCACGAGGAACAUGGAAUCAGUCAAUCAGUUCUUUCACUGCCUGCCCACGUGGAUGUGAAGGAUAUCUAACCAAGGACAAGAUUAAAGUGCCCCCAAAAGAUUCCCAAGAAACUUAUGUUUCUCUAUCAACGUUGGAAAGCAUGUCACAUUCAUCAUUCACAACUCAUCAAGAUAAGCUUCGUCAGUACGUCCUAAGAGAUCGAAAAGAAAGCAAGCAGCCGUGAGCAAACAGGACAGAAAUCAAUUUACUUUCAUUUCCCCCACAUAAUUCAGGAAGAACAAUAUCAAGCUCAUGGAUUUGCAAUCUAUGGACACUCUUUUCUGUACGAAAAGAUUGAAGAGUAGUAUGUAGUUCUAACAAAGCCAUGCUUUAAUUAUUCCUGAAAAGGGUUCUUUUUCUUCCAUCACUGCCAUUUUCUCCCCUUUUUUUGCUGCUUAUUCUUUUUCCUCAAUGGUCAGCAUUUUGUCAUACUUUUCUUUUCUGAAUAAUCUACUGCGCAGGCCCACUCGAUCUAUUGCUAUCAUGGAAAUUAUGCAGAAACACAAGUUGGUACCUACCCGA